rnacentral:rRNA from 1 species
UCGAGGAUCUUCGGCAAUGGGCGCAAGCCUGACCGAGCGACGCCGCGUGGGCGAUGAAGGCCUUCGGGUUGUAAAGCCCUGUCGAGGGGGAGAAAAGGGUAAAACCUUGAUCUAUCCCUGGAGGAAGCACGGGCUAAGUUCGUGCCAGCAGCCGCGGUAAGACGAACCGUGCGAACGUUAUUCGGAAUCACUGGGCUUAAAGGGUGCGUAGGCUGGUUGCCAAGUCUGUGGUGAAAUCCUCCGGCUUAACCGGAGAACUGCCGUGGAUACUGGCGACCUCGAGUGGGGUAGGGGCUUGCGGAACUGUGCGUGGAGCGGUGAAAUGCGUUGAUAUGCACAGGAACUCCGGUGGCGAAGGCGGCGAGCUGGACCCUAACUGACGCUGAGGCACGAAAGCCAGGGGAGCGAACGG